rnacentral:rRNA from 1 species
UACGAAGGGGGCUAGCGUUGCUCGGAAUCACUGGGCGUAAAGGGUGCGUAGGCGGGUUUUUAAGUCAGAGGUGAAAUCCUGGAGCUCAACUCCAGAACUGCCUUUGAUACUGGCGACCUUGAGUCCGGGAGAGGUGAGUGGAACUGCGAGUGUAGAGGUGAAAUUCGUAGAUAUUCGCAAGAACACCAGUGGCGAAGGCGGCUCACUGGCCCGGUACUGACGCUGAGGUGCGAAAGCGUGGGGAGCAAACAGG